rnacentral:rRNA from 1 species
UAACCUGCCUCUUAGCGGGGGAUAACUAUUGGAAACGAUAGCUAAUACCGCAUAAAAGUACGACAUUGCAUGAUGUUGACUUGAAAGGUGCAAUUGCAUCACUAAGAGAUGGACCUGCGUUGUAUUAGCUAGUUGGUGAGGUAACGGCUCACCAAGGCGACGAUACAUAGCCGACCUGAGAGGGUGAUCGGCCACACUGGGACUGAGACACGGCCCAG